CACGUAGGGCGCAAGCGUUGUCCGGAAUUAUUGGGCGUAAAGAGCUCGUAGGCGGUCUGUUGCGUCCGCUGUGAAAACUCGGGGCUUAACCCCGAGCCUGCAGUGGAUACGGGCAGACUAGAGGUAGGUAGGGGAGAAUGGAAUUCCCGGUGUAGCGGUGAAAUGCGCAGAUAUCGGGAGGAACACCGGUGGCGAAGGCGGCUCGCUGGGCAGUGGCUGACGCUGAGGCGCGACAGCGUGGGGAGCAAACAGG
rnacentral:rRNA from 1 species